AUUGAACGCUGGCGGCAGGCCUAACACAUGCAAGUCGAGCGGAUGAGAAGAGCUUGCUCUUCGAUUCAUCGGCGGACGGGUGAGUAAUGCCUAGGAAUCUGCCUGGUAGUGGGGGACCACGCCUCGAAAGGGACGCUAAUACCGCAUACUUCCUACGGGAGAAAGCAGGGGACCUUCGGGCCUUGCGCUAUCAGAUGAGACUAGUUCGGAUUAGCUUGUUGGUGAGAGAAUGGCUCACCAAGGCGACGAUCCGUAACUGGUCCGAGAGGAUGAGCAGUCAAACUGGAACUGAGACACGGUCCAGACUCCUACGGGAGGCAGCAGUGGGGAAUAUUGGACAAUGGGCGAAAGCCUGAUCCAGCCAUGCCGCGUGUGUGAAGAAGGUCUUCGGAUUGUAAAGCACUUUAAGUUGGGAGGAAGGGUAGUCAGCGAAUGCCUGGUUGUUUUGACGUUACCAACAGAAUAAGCACCGGCUAACUCUGUGCCAGCAGCCGCCGUAAAAC
rnacentral:rRNA from 1 species